CCCGCACAAGCGGUGGAGCAUGUGGUUAAUUCGAAGCAACGCGAAGAACCUUACCAGGUCUUGACAUCCCGAUGCUAUUUCUAGAGAUAGAAAGUUACUUCGGUACAUCGGUGACAGGUGGUGCAUGGUUGUCGUCAGCUCGUGUCGUGAGAUGUUGGGUUAAGUCCCGCAACGAGCGCAACCCCUAUUGUUAGUUGCCAUCAUUCAGUUGGGUACUCUAGCGAGACUGCCGGUAAUAAACCGGAGGAAGGUGGGGAUGACGUCAAAUCAUCAUGCCCCUUAUGACCUGGGCUACACACGUGCUACAAUGGUUGGUACAACGAGUUGCGAGUCGGUGACGGCGAGCUAAUCUCUUAAAGCCAAUCUCAGUUCGGAUUGUAGGCUGCAACUCGCCUACAUGAAGUCGGAAUCGCUAGUAAUCGCGGAUCAGCACGCCGCGGUGAAUACGUUCCCGGGCCUU
rnacentral:rRNA from 1 species